CCUGAAAAGGUUAAGAAGAGAAGGCUAAGAGAGACACAUGGUUCAGAGGUUCUCAUCAUCCAAUGCCAUCUGCAUUUAAGAUAGACAAACAAAUGUCUUUUUACUCCCUGUUCACUGAAAGAGUCCAGUAAAACGACUAAACUUUA